UACGCUUCCGCAUAUGCUGUGGGAGUGCUCAGCACAGUACACACAGACUGACACCACGACUCUCUCGUUGAGGUUGCAUGAGGCUCUGCGGAGCUCCGCCCUCGGCGACCAAACCUGGGCGACCCAGCACGCCCGCGAGGCGGCGGUGAGGCAAGUCCUCGGCUUCCCUUCAUGGGAGGCUAGGCCCGGCCAUCAUAAAGUGCUGGUUGUACAAUAAAUGUUUAUUCCACCUCCUCCUCUUUGGCUCAUAUCUCUCUCGAUAACACGUCAGAGUCAAUCAAAGCGCUGUCGAAAUAUUAUUAAGGCGAAAGCCUUAAGGGGGUCGUUGUGCAAUAUACUUGAAAAAAAAAAACGCUGCGUCUAGUCGAGUGGUACAAAGAAACCCAUGUGACCAUCUCCGAGCGAGCGACAGGUGUUGAGGGGGCCCAGCGGCGCGCGCAGAUAGAAAAGCAGGUGUUGCGUCGCUCACGUCACGCGGCGGCGGUGGCGACGGUUGUGGAGACAGUCGACUGCGAAGCGAGAGAGAGGUGGUGAUGUAAGACGCUAGCCAGGGGUGUAGCGGAUUGCGCAGUAGGCCUCAUAAGUACGCUAUGGCCGAGAAUGCUUGCCAAGUGAGAAACUAGGUGCGAGAUGCGAAACGUCGGGAGCGGGGCGUUCGACCACAUAUAAGGCAUCACGGGACGGACAAAUUAUGCUGGCAUACUCAUCCAGGAGCGCUUACGUAUUAAUACGUAAAAAAUGUUAUUAUGGGCUUCAGCGGUUCUACCCAGGAUCUUAAGGCAGAUAUGUAGAGUGGCGUUAGGAGGAACCAGUCUCCUGGAUUCACCAGACGUGCACGCUCGACAUCGUCACCAAAGUACAGCCUGCCGAAUGCUUGUAAAGGACGAUAAUGAUCUUUCUGGUGGAAGGUUCGCUGUUAUGAGAUUAUGAGCACAGGAUUACUCUGAAAUGGGAGCAGCUGAGCCUGGCUUUCACGACUAUCAACAAACCAAGAAAAAGAAUGCCUGGCUGCUGCCUCAACAACGGGUGGAUUAAUAUUAAAGUCCAGGGUUUACAAUAAGAGCAUUUACAUAAGAGUAGCCAGUCCUGACUGUGUCCUUGCCGUGUAAUGGCGCGUGCCAGCCAACUUGCGUCGGCAUGUACACGCUCUGUCAUGAGGGCUCGCUUCAAAAUUACAAAUACUGUACAACAUAUGUAUGCUUAUUCGACAUUUCUUGCCAAAUACCUGAGUGCGCACAAAUAUUAGAGAUGCAGAGAAUAACUAGGCAAAUAAACCUGAAGGUGAGCCAUUUAGCUUACUAUAUUACAGCGAAAAGGAAGCUGAAUCCGUAAAUCUGCCGUUGCGCAAUAAGACGUAAAAAAAAGAUUCAUAGUGGGUUAAGGUAAAUCAGUUAUACAGUGACCCUAUUUUAUGAAUGCCGAUACUAAGGUCAGCCUAUU